CAGCCGCCGCGGGAAUACGUAGGUGGCAAGCGUUGUCCGGAAUUAUUGGGCGUAAAGCGCGCGCAGGUGGUUAUAUAAGUCAGAUGUGAAAUCCCCGGGCUCAACCUGGGAACUGCAUUUGAGACUGUAUGGCUAGAGUGCGUCAGAGGGGGGUAGAAUUCCACGUGUAGCAGUGAAAUGCGUAGAGAUGUGGAGGAACACCGAUGGCGAAGGCAGCCCCCUGGGCCAAUACUGACGCUCAUGCACGAAAGCGUGGGGAGCAAACAGGAUUAGAUACCCCGGUAGUCCCUGUCUCUUAUAC
rnacentral:rRNA from 1 species